rnacentral:rRNA from 1 species
AGAACGAACGCUGGCGGCAGGCUUAACACAUGCAAGUCGAACGCGUGUAGCAAUACACGAGUGGCGCACGGGUGAGUAACGCGUGGAUAUCUGCCUUUUGGUUCGGAAUAACCCCGGGAAACUGGGGCUAAUACCGGAUGGUUCCUACGGGAUAAAGAUUUAUCGCCAAAAGAUGAGUCCGCGUACGAUUAGCUAGUUGGUGAGGUAAUGGCUCACCAAGGCGACGAUCGUUAGCUGGUCUGAGAGGACGAUCAGCCACACUGGGACUGAGACACGGCCCAGACUCCUACGGGAGGCAGCAGUGGGGAAUAUUGGACAAUGGGGGCAACCCUGAUCCAGCCAUGCCGCGUGAGUGAUGAAGGCCUUCGGGUUGUAAAGCUCUUUUGGCGGGGACGAUGAUGACGGUACCGCAGAAUAAGCCCGGCUAACUUCGCGCCAGCAGCCGC